GACGAACGCUGGCGGCGUGCUUAACACAUGCAAGUCGAGCGGAAAGGCCCUUCGGGGUACUCGAGCGGCGAACGGGUGAGUAACACGUGAGUAACCUGCCCCAGACUUUGGGAUAACCCUCGGAAACGGGGGCCAAUACCGGAUACGACACAGCUUCGCAUGGGGUCCGUGUGGAAAGUUUUUCGGUUUGGGAUGGGCUCGCGGCCUACCAGCUUGUUGGUGGGGUGAUGGCCUACCAAGGCGACGACGGGUAGCCGGCCUGAGAGGGCGACCGGCCACACUGGGACUGAGACACGGCCCAGACUCCUACGGGAGGCAGCAGUGGGGAAUAUUGCACAAUGGGCGGAAGCCUGAUGCAGCGACGCCGCGUGAGGGAUGACGGCCUUCGGGUUGUAAACCUCUUUCAGCAGGGACGAAGCGUAAGUGACGGUACCUGCAGAAGAAGCGCCGGCCAACUACGUG
rnacentral:rRNA from 1 species